CAACUAGUGAAAGAGUCUGGCCAGCACCCAAGUGUGAUUCAUCCCUGUGUAAGCUGGGUCUCUGUGCAGGUCAAUUGCAUUGUCAUUGCAUCUCAUGGAAGGCAAUCUGAGCCAGUUACUAAAAAGGAGAGUUCAGCUGAGGUUACACUACAGAAAGAACAAUGUAACCCUCUUCAUCCUAAUGUGACUAAGGACUGGAAGUCUGAAUAGGAGCAAUCAUCCAAAAGCACUACUGUCAGUCUAACUUUGCAAUUUUGGUUGAAGAUCUUUCCUGUAGGCUACAACAAUACUGAG